rnacentral:lncRNA from 10 species
GAAUUGCCAUGAGGCCUAACUGCUGGUGCUCGAUGCCACAUGGCUCCACUGCCAUUUUGGCCUUUCCCUGGAUGCCUUGCCCUGGGACAUCUAAAGCUGGGUUUCUACCCUAGCGUUAACUUUCAUUGCUUUUUCUAAACGGAACAGAAAGGGCGUACAAGGCCCUGGGCCCCGGAGCAAAUCCACAGCAGGGAAUGAGUGUCUCUAGGUUGGCAGGCCGGGCCAGAGGAGGAGUUAUCAGAGCGAGCAAAAGCAGUGCAGUGGUGGGCACCCGGGACCUAUGAGCCGAGAGGCAGGGAGGAGGUCUGAGAUUCCAAGGGCAGGAUGAAGAGCACGUGGAGAACUCUAGGCACCUUGUACCGUGGUGAGGCAAUACUGUUCUCAGACAGGAGAUGCCUUUCUGUUCAAGCCUCACAGUGAUGAUUCAAACUGCAUCUGACCCCAGAGCCUGUUUUCAGACACAGGCGGGACAGCCCUGGUUGAAGAAGGGACCUGGGGCUGAAGCGCCCUGGGCACAGGCCCUUCCCCCUAAGCCCAGGGGGAUUGCCCUCUUGACCUUCCGCAGGCCCUGGGGCAAGGGUUCUCGGUGAAGUCCUGCUCCUUCUCUCCUGCAUCCUUGCUCCAUCCUGCCCCUCUCAGGGCAAUGAGCACGGGCCUGCGGACUCCAUGCUUGCACGCCAAACUCCAUUCCCUUCGGCGGGCACAUCCCCAGCCAGGUGUCCUCUCCAGGCCCAAGGGAGGGCACGCCUGUGGUGGCUCGGUGGAAGGAGGACCACACACAGCCUGGCAGCAGCUCGGAGGCCCUGGGAGCAGGAGCAUCAGCACCCCUAGCCUCGGGCCCUAAAUAGGCUCUCCAAAGUGUAAAUCAGACCACGUCUCAGCCUCUCCACAGAUCUCCAUGACAUACAAAGCCUCCCCAGCUUCCUGAACACGAUCCCCGCUGGCUCGGAGACCUUCUGACGCCCCCUUCUUUUCCCCAGGCUGCAGGAGCAGUCCCCUCGGCGUCCCCGCUGGGUCCAGCCUCUGCACCUCGGCUCAUGCGGUACCCCCCGUUAGACCCACUACGUCUUCACUGUCCUGGCUUCCCUCCCAGCUAGGGGAUCCUCCCUUUCUAGUGUCCAUGCCCGUCUCUGGGUAUGGAAACCCUACCUCUGUAGCUGCUCCCCUCGGCCUGCACUAGCCCUCAUCCCCUGCCACAGGCCCUGCGCGCAUUCACCUUGGGCCUGAAGUCCCCAGCAGAGAGCUUGAGCGGGAUGGGUCCUCGCCGGUAUGUGCGGGGCAGAAUUAAACUCAUCUGGCAGGUACCACCCAGUGCACAGAAACCCGGCCCUUAGAGACACCGAUUCAGAGAAGAAAAAAGGCCUCUGUGAGGGACAGGAAUCCCCCGGCCGUCCGUGGAGACAAUCUCGAGCCACAGUCCUGCCUGGAUCAAGGUGUCUUUCCAGCGCCUGAGGAGUCUGGGCCUGUGACUCCCAGUGUGCAGAGCCCUCGGGGCCCUCAGCGGUGCUGUGCUGACUUCAGGUGGGCUCUCAGUGGCAGGCACCUGAUGAUCCCUCCCAGAGGCUUUUACCUGCACCUGGAGAAGGUGGAUCUGAGCUCGUGUGCCCCAGGCCUCAGGUGCUAGACACUUCACACCCGGGGAGUCUCCCUCAGUAAGAGACUCCGUCCAGAUUCCCUCACAGCUGCUGUGCAGGAGGGAUAAUUCAGAGGCAGAGUUUAAUACCAUUUCCCAAAAUGUUCUCACUCUACCUGGGAUUAGGUUCCGGUUAUCACUGCUAACCGGCUUCACAGUGCGUCUUCUGUUGGCUGCCUCCCUUCCUUGUCAUCAUUUACCCACUCCCUUCUGGCCGUUCCCUGUAAAUCCCAAAAUAAACGGUUUGGAUUCAAACCCUCCUCUCAGGGUCCGCCCUGAGAAAAACUCCAGCCAAGACACCAUGAUACCCGAAUCAAGGACACUUAUGAAAUAACUGCUGCUUUAACUUUUUUUUUUUUUUGCCUGAAAUCAAUACACCUUAUAAAAAAUAACAUUGAUAUUUUUGUUUGUCUUUAAGAAAAAUAAAAUCUUUAUUUCAUUAGAAAAUGGUCCACAUAUAGUAUAGCUGCUUGCAGUCUUUGUUUCCAUCAGACCAGUGUCUCCAAGCUGCGUGCUGAGCGGAUGUAGUCGGACUGAGAAAGGGCCCAUCUGCAUGGGAUGGAAAUAAGGAAUCCUGGGCCAUUCCCGCUGGGGCUUGCGGAUAUCCCUUACAGAGCUACUGAAGGACCUCCUUCCUGAGCCCCUGCCCUAGCGAAAAACAGUGUCUAGCGCCAAAUCAGAUACUCUCCAGUGGACUUGCUUUUCUUUUUCCCUUGAGUGAAGGGAACGGCUUAGGAAAUGAAUCUCAUCAGCUCUUAGAAAGCUGAUCCAUGCUUCAACAGGCAAAGUGUCAAAAUAGUAGCAAUGGCUGGAAGGAUUAGCAAGGAAAACCAAACCUGAUGUUUUCUGGCCCUUCCAGCAAUAACGGGAAGAGGCAGCUGAGCCGGAACCUGGCAGACUGCAGGCUGUCGAGCCUUGGGUGGGCAGGGGGUCUGCACCGCUGCUGAGCUUCUCUAAGCCUGGAAGGGCGUGGAGUCACUGCUUACGGUGUGAUUUGCCGCAGAAACAUAUUGGAACCUCUGCAUUUAUAACAAAAUACUUAUACAUUUCAAGAGAGAAUGAAGUCGCUCAGUGGCUGCUCAGUGGCCACACACACUGCUGCCUGUGACGUUCUGGGAAAUUGCACCAGGUGUGGGCUAAUG